GGGACUGGCAGGACUGCGCGGCGGCGAUUACAGACAUUUCGGGGGUCCGGGGCCUGUCGCGACUGCUAAGCGCUCGGCGCCUGGCGCUGGCCAAGGCGUGGCCAACAGUGUUGCAAACAGGAACCCGAGGUUUUCACUUCACUGUUGAAGGAACACGAGGGCAUCUGCUAAAGUUUCAGAUUCCAUUUCUGCUCAGUAUCCAGUAGUGGAUCAUGAAUUUGAUGCAGCGGUGGUAGGCGCUGGAGGGGCAGGCUUGCGAGCUGCAUUUGGCCUUUCUGAGGCAGGGUUUAAUACGGCAUGUGUUACAAAGCUGUUUCCUACCAGGUCACACACUGUUGCAGCGCAGGUUGGAAUCAAUGCUGCUCUGGGGAACAUGGAGGGGGACAACUGGAGAUGGCAUUUCUACGACACCGUGAAGGGCUCCGACUGGCUGGGGGACCAGGAUGCCAUCCAAUACAUGACGGAGCAGGCCCCCACUGCCAUGGUCGAGCUAGAAAAUUAUGGCAUGCCGUUUAACAGCACUGAAGAUGGGAAGAUUUAUCAGCAUGCAUUUGGUGGACAGAGCCUCAGGUUUGGAAAGGGCGGGCAGGCCCAUCGGUGCUGCUGUUUGGCUGAUCGGACCGGCCACUCAAUAUUGCACACCUUAUAUGGGAGGUCUCUUUGAUGUGAUACCAGCUGUUUUGUGGAGUAUUUUGCCUUGGAUCUCCUGAUGGAGAAUGGGGAGUGAUGUGGUGUCAUCGCACUGUGCAUAGAGGACGGGUCCAUCCAUCGCAUAAGAGCAAAGAACACUGUUGUUGCCACAGGGUAGGAAUCUAAUUUCUACUUUAUUUCCUUUGUAAAAAUCAAUAAAUUUCAUUUAGAGUUUGUUUAUUUUAAGGAAAAUAGAGGCAUUGUAGAAUAACGGUUCAGACACAGGCCUUGAUAUAACCGUGUGAGGGUGAUGGCCUUUCCCAGCCGUGGUUCCUCACCUGUAAAGGGUGAGGACAGCAGCACCUGCCUCAGGGGGUGAGAAAGCAUGGCCCUCAGUAGUCGGUAGUGGCUGCCAUCAGGUUCACAGCUUACCUCUCCGGAUUUUAGGUGAGGAAACUGUGGCCUGAAGAGUCACAUGGGGUUUUCUGGCAAAAUCUCUCUUGUUUUAUUGGGUUCUGUGUUUAUACUGAUUCCUGGGGAUAGAUAAGUCUGUCUUCUCCACAUAAUGAAAAUAAGUAACUUUAAUUUUAUAUUCUGUCAGUUACUUUAACCACUUUAAAAGUUAAAAAGUGUCAGUACAGCCAA
rnacentral:lncRNA from 1 species